GGAGGUUUUCAUGGGAAUAGGAGCUUUGGGGGUCCUGUAAGGUUCCUCUGGACAGAAGAAUGAGCACAGAACGAGACCGGAAGCGAAACUCUCUGGAGUCCUUUACUACAGAUAUGUUGGAAAGGAUCCCUCUGGCCAGCAGACUGUAUGUUCGAGAGAAACUAUAUCAAAUCACAAGACUCUUUACAAACCAUAUUUCAUUCGUGAAACCAGUCAGCUUGUUGAGCCUUUGUGAUGAGCCAGUCCUAUAUUGGGCAUUGUAGGUCCAAGGCAAACAAAGAUGAGGUUCUGUCCUUAGGCUGUGUAUUAUUGAGAGAUAAGGGAUGGCCUGGAACACUGAGUACACACCGAUCCAUAGCCUAAGGUGAAUGAUCUGAGGAAUCACAGAGGAUGAGGCAACUUCCUGGGGGAGGUGAUACCAGCAGAACCUCAAAGCAGAAUUAAGGAAGGCGUCCUUCACAUAGAGCUGUGACAGAGCAUCUUUCAGGCAGGAGAGGGGACAGAGACAGGACACAAAGCAGGGAGCAGAGGGAAGAUCAGCAUUGGUUGGAGGGGCACAGGUGAGAGAACACUGUGGCUCAUGCCUGUGUCCUCAUCUGGAUGCUAGGAACAGCAUAGACCUUCCAACCAAGACUGGUAAAUGGAAGUCGACCACUAAAUGGAUGGAAAGUGGGGCAUAUCACUGCUGGAAGAUUUCUUUCUAUCUUGUCUCAUUUAUUCUUUAUACCCAUGUUAACACAAGGAACACCAUCAGCUGGGUGCAUCAAGGGAAGGAAGCACAAUGGGCAUUGGAGCCUGGCUGUCAGGUCUGAGCCUGGCUGUACUGAGAGAGGCACCUGGCUCUGGCCUGGUUGCAUUUGCAGAGAGCCCCUGAAAUUAAUUUAAUCCCCCUGCAUCACUCUCAAGUUCAUUUUCUUCUUAGGAUGGCAUGGCCUAGUCUUGGGAAAGUUUCUGUGUUGAAUUUCCUCUGCUAAGACAAAAUCCUCAAGAUAGACAACUUAAAAGAAGGACAGAUUCCUUGGCUCACAGUUUCAGAGGUUCCUGUCCUGGUUGGGUGACUGUUUCAUUGUGCUGAUUAUUUAUUUCUGGGCUGUGACAAAACACCUGACGAAAGUAAAUUAGUGGGUAAAGGUUAUUCUGACUCACAGUUUGAGGAGAGAGACUACCAUGGCAAGGAAGUCAUGGAGUUGGGCACACAGGGCCGCUGAUUACAUUGCAUCUGUAGUCAGGUCUCUUUUUUGUCUAGUCUGGGACCCCAGCCUGUGCAAUGGUGCCACCCAUGAUACUUAUUCAUAUUAGCUUAUUCUAGAUCAUCCCCUCAGACGUGCCCAGAGAUUUGUUUUAAUAGUGAUACUCAACCCCACCACAUUGACAAUCAAGAUUAGCCAUUACUGUCACUUUGGGUGUAUGGUAAGGAUACACAUAACGGUGUCAAUGGCAUGAAGCACUCAUAUCAUGGAAGUCAAGAAGAAAAGAGAAAGGAAGAAGCAGGUGUUCUAAUAUGAGGGCUACCUCGUGGGAACGCUCUUGAUGACUGACUCCCAUCUCACUUGGCCCUUGUUUUCCAGGUUCCAUUUCUUCCCAAUAUCACCACAGGUAGGCAACUAAGCCCUUGGCCUCAAGGUCUUUGGAAACAUCUCAGAUGCAAACUGUAGUAACCCCAUGAGAACUGGCCCUGGUAGAUAGCAGGACGUGCUUCUGCCCUGGAAAUAGACAAUGAGGGACCUGGCAGGGCAUUGCUGGAGAGUCAGGGUUCUUCAAUAGGCCUCAGUUUUCCCAAAUAUAAAAUAGAAGAGCUGGAUAGAUGACUUUGAAUCUGUAUGAUGUGGCAUCCAUCCAUUACGGUCACUUUUGCAUUACCCAAUAUAAGUUUCAUGCCUCUAAUUUUCACCGUAGUUCAGAAACAAUUCUGGGUGUGGCUCUGGGACUGAUUUUUGAAAUAGAUGUACAAACUCCUUGCUUGCUCUGUCUCUGAUAGGAAAGGUUUACUCCCCCCUACCCUGUAGGACUUUCAAGGUAAGGUUUGAAUGGUCUCACAGCUUCUCCUGGCCCUUACCCUUGAACUGUUUGCUGUGAGGUCCCUCAUGAUGCCCUAUGAAGAUAGAUCUACAACCCAGAGCCCUCGUUAGCAACUAUGUGAGUGAGAUACUGUGGAACUGCCAAUCAAACCUUCAGACGACUGUGGUCCUUACUCACAGUUGACAUCACAAGCCAAGAGCGCUCUGCUAAACUGCUCUUGUGUUCCUGGCUUUCAGAUGCUGUGUGGGGCGGUGGAUGCCUGUUAUCUUAUGCUGUUGAAAUUUGGUGACAUUUGUUGCAUGGCAUUUGAUAGCUAAGCCACUACUGGGUUGUGUUGCUGGUGGUCAUGGCAGAGACAGCCACUGUACCUGUCACCCUGCUUCAGUAUCACUGACACUUUCCUCCCUGGGAGCUCAUGGAAUGAUUGAUAAACAUCCUUGUCCAGGGAGAUUCCAGAAGACGCCUCCUUAGCUUCAAGUUUUCGCUCAGGUUCAGACUUAGGGAAAGAUUUUACUGUGGACCAGGGAAUAGCAGUGCCAUGGCUAGGCCAAUAGACCAAUAACUUAUUAUUACUCUCGGCCACAGUUCCCUGGCCUUAUCCCCUAAUCUAGUAAUGAGUUUUCCCACCUCUCUUUCCACCACUGUUAUGACAUUGUUGUUUCUUUUUUAUUUGUUUUAUGUGUACAAGUGUGUUGCCUGCAUACUCGUGUGUGUGUGUGUGUGUGUGUGUGUGUGUGUGUGUGUGUGUGUGUGUGUGUGUGUGUGUUUGGAGCCUAGGAGAACACGAGGACAUUAGACUUCCUGGAACUGAAGUCACAGACAGUUGUGAGCUGCCAUGUGGGUGCUGGGAGCAGAACACUGAGAAUGUCCUUUGCAGCAACAGACCCAGCACAGAAGAAAUCUGAAGGAACAAGUGUCUGCUGAAACGGACUCUCUGACAGUGACUUUGAAGUUUGGGCCGUCUCCGGAGAGCGACUGCGCCUUAAUGCUUCAGUUUCUGUAUCUGGAAGUUGGGGACUGAUGAGGUGUCACCUGUCAUCAGGCAGCACAGAAGAUGCCCGAGCAAUGCCACUGCUGGUUUCUUAAGCACCACCACUGCCAUAGCACCAGGCUGAACAAUGUCCUCGAAGUCAGAAAAAAAAACUGGACUGGACAGAUUUUCCAUUUUUGUACUUCAAUAAAUUGACUUAAACUAA